UCUCCCCUGUUUCUGCUCAAGGAAAAAAAAGGGGAACCAUCUCCCUUGGCUUCUUUUAAACUUUCUCCCUUGGCUUCUUUUACACUUACUUCUCCUUCUUCUUCUUAUUCUUCUUCUUCUUCUUCUUCUUCUUCUUCUUAUUAUUAUUAUUAUCUCUAGAGACUUCUUAUAGGCCCCAUUAAAUUGAUUCAUGGACUCUUAACAAAAUGCUUUAUGGGCGAGGAAGGCUGGUUUAAAUGGAAAAUUUUCAGUGAAGACAGCUUACAUAAUGCAACGUAGUAAUGCUUCCUCUCCUUCUUGUUCACUAUUGCGUUAAAUCUGGAGAAUUAAGGUCUCUCAACGAAUCCAGUCUUAUCUUUAGUUGAUGUUGCAUGACAAGCUUAUGACAAAUAACAAGCGCAGGAGGAGGGGUUUCAUUACUAACCCUGGUUGCAUGUCUUGUGGUGCUCCAAAGGAAUCUGUCCAGCAUAUUUUUUGAGAUUGUCAACAUGCUAGAGAAGUGUGGGAGUUGGUUUGGGAUGCAGCUUUCUUGUAGAGGUUCUAUGCCGCCUGAGCUGGGGUGGGUUAAGUUGAAUUUCGAUGGCCUUCUAAAGGCAAUUCUGGACGAGGAGGGGGUGGUGUCAUACGCAAUUAUAAAGGAGUUGGAUUGCUGACUGUGAGACAUGGCAUUUGUAAUUCUAUGCAGGCUGAAUUUCAUGCUCUGGUUAAUGGUUUGAACAUGGCUCGGAAUAUGGGGUACAGGAAGGUGCUUAUGGAUUUGGAAUCGAAAGUUGUCUUGGAGUUGCUCUCCAAUGAGAAGGGAUCUAAUUUGCGUUUUGUGAACUUGAUUUCGUAGUGUUGGGACCUUCUUCAUCGCCCAUGGCAGGUGCAAUUGUGCCAUUAUUUUUGGGAAGCUAAUAGAGUGGCAGAUCGUCUAGCCAAUUUAGCCGUGCAUGCUUCUAUGGUUUUCAUGUGAUCUCUUCUCCUGCAAAGGACGUUUUGGAUUUUCUUCUGGCCUAGGAUCAUUUCCUCAUCCGGGUCAUUGGGGAACAAUGUGCGCCAAAAGAAGGCAUGGAGAAGGGUCGACACAAACAGUAGAGACACCAUUGUUGAUGACAUGAAAGAAAGCGAAAGUGCAAGCACCUUGCUUAGAACUGCAGGAACCUGCUCUGCGUACUUGAUUGUUGCAACUGAUACUGUUGUCAUGGGGAAUGUGUAAGACCACCAUGCCACCGAGAACCUGUAAGGUUAUUGGGUAGUUAAGCUUUAUUUCCAUCAAGAACAGUUUGAAACUAAUCCAAGUAAUCGGUUGCUCUCAUUUAUAAAAUUUCAAUUAUUACUUAACUAAAUUAUUACUAACAGCUGAGAUUUCUGUACACUUCAGAAUAACCUAGCUUCUAACUUAACCAGGUAAGUGAAGAAUCAAGUGAGGUAUAGGUCUUACCUGAAUCCUGUGAAGAAGUUGAUACGCACAACCAGGGAAAUAUAGAGAAACAAUGCAAUGAAGUAGCAAGUCCUUGACAAUCCAUCAAACUCACCAUAAAUAGAUUCCCAGGCAAUACUUGCUGCUGAUGGGGCUGCAAUGAACAUAGAAUACACAGGAUGCAGCUCUUUAGGCAAUGCUUCGCUUGUGGGCAAUCUCUGAUACAAUGUCACAAACACCACAAGAUAAUGUGCAAAGCCAAUUGCCCACAAGAACUUAGCCGCUUCAAUCCAUCCUACUUUAGCAGCUAAAAUUGCCCCAACAAAAUUUCCAACCACAGAAAGAUGGGAAGAUGGAUUAGCUACCUUGCAAAGACGUCUCUUUCCACCGGAAAGCCAUUGGCCAUAAAUCUUGAGCUCGAGGAGGAAAUAUGGUCCCAUGAAGGUGCACCAAAGGGCAGGGUGCAAAUUUUCAGGAGCUAGCAUAGGAGGUGCACUGAUAGCCAGGAACAUGCACACAACCCACGGGGCAAAGAAGAAGUUGACACGAACUGGGUGAAAAUACUCUCUUCUGACAGCUUCAAAAUAGAACAUGCAUUUGAGGAUGUAGGUGAAGGAAAUUGAGAAUAGGACAGCAACAGCUAAGAGCCAGAGAGCAAGGUUGAUGAAUGGUGUAAUGUGGAGAAAUUUAGUAGCUGGGCUUGUUGCAAGGGCACGCCAUAAGACAGCUUGGCUACUUAGGCCAAGACAAAUACCAAAGCAACCGAUUGGGAAUCGAAGAAGAAAAGGCCAUUUCUCAUCUUUUGGAAGGAGAAUGUCUUCAUGAUCCUGCACAGCAAAAUAUAGAGAAUCAUAUUUUGACAGGGCAAAUGACUUCCUAUGCGCCUAUCUCCAAUUGUAGUUUCAGGUACAUUUGAAGCUAAUUGAAAGAUAUCAAAAAGGCUCAUGGCUUGCAACAUGCUAUAGCAAGAAGACCAUUUAAGAUAUAGUAGCAUUUGAUGUAAAUUAAGGCUCAAAUAUAUGACGAUAUCAAUUGUUAUUAUA